UACGUAGGGUGCGAGCGUUGUCCGGAAUUAUUGGGCGUAAAGAGCUUGUAGGCGGUUUGUCGCGUCGGGAGUGAAAACCUCGGGCUUAACUCGGGGCUUGCUUUCGAUACGGGCAGACUGGAGGUAUGCAGGGGAGAACGGAAUUCCUGGUGUAGCGGUGAAAUGCGCAGAUAUCAGGAGGAACACCGGUGGCGAAGGCGGUUCUCUGGGCAUGACCUGACGCUGAGGAGCGAAAGUGUGGGGAGCGAACAGG
rnacentral:rRNA from 1 species